GUUCCUGUUACCACCUGAAGCAUCUCCUGUUUCAUUGGGGCUGCGCCGGUCACAACAACAACCAGGAGAACCAAAAAUACAACUUCUUUCUCUCCAGUUCUCCUUUUUUAUCUUGGCAGCAACCCUCAGAAAGAAGUUUUCCUGCUGACCUUGGAGAAGCAACUGCCUGGAACAUGAGUACUGUGUAGAAGCUGAGGAUCUAACUCCUCUAGUCAUAAGAAACUGAGUUCUGCUUGUCCUGGCCUGUGGAAAGGAAUCUCUAUCCAUGAGACACUUUCAAUGCUAAAAGAAGAAAUGAAAAUUCAGCCUUCUUAAAAUAGAUUCUCUCCCCUUUUUACCUCUUCCUUCAUGCCAUCCUUUUGAGUCACAGAGUAUCAUUGGGGCUUCUUGUGAGCUGCAAAAACCACUUAAAAUUUGAACCAGUGCUUCUCAAAGUUGUCUGAUGCUGGUACGCAAAUGGAUAACUUGUCUGUCACUGUAGGAGAACUAUAGGAAUUGAGGUUGAAUAGGAUACAUCUUCAAUCAGCCCUGCUUCCCUGGGGACUUUAAGAAAAAAACUGCAUCCUUCAGUGUUCAAUAAAUUACUUUGGUGCCUCUGAAAAUGCCCAGAGGACUGAUGUCCUUCAGUUUAUUCACCUUCAAGUAUAAACAGUCACUAUCCUGCUGAAUUGAAUCCUUCCUAAUUUUAAUAAAAAGCACAUUUUCUUUCGAUCUUUCUACCUUUUCUACAGUCUUGACAUACAUCUUUUAUUUUGUC